rnacentral:tRNA from 1 species
GCGGGUGUGUUGGAAUUGGUAGACAACCCAGACUUAGGAUCUGGUGGCGCAAGCCGUGGGGGUUCGAGUCCCCCCACCCGUA